GAUGCUUGCUCAGCUUUCAAGAGCCCUUGGGUUCGGUCUCCAUCACUGGGAAGGGAGAGGCAGUAUCUGUAGGAAUGAGGGAGGGGGUCUAAGGGAAGAGAAGGUGGAGGUUUUAAGGGUCUCAGUAGGCAACUCAGAGAGAGGCAGAUGGCCAAGUCUGGAGGUACCACUGGGGGUCCAGGGGCCAGGACAGAGGUGGAGUCCGGGAAACAGCGCAGCAACAGCAGCUGGGGGUGAGGUUGAAUAACUAAGGGGAGAACGAGUUCUGUAAAUAAAAAUGGGAUUUUCUCCUGGUCCUCAGCUGACCAUUGAGAGCAGUGCUGCUCUUCAGUGCUAGUAGAGGUUCCCUACAGGAAGCGCAUUCCUGGUGAGCACAGACAAGCCCUGUUGGCUCCCCUGCUGUCGUCCAGAGCAAAACUAUUCCUAUUGCAAAUAGAUGCUCCAGAAAGGGGAGCUGCUGGAAGAAAUAGGAGGGGAGUCCUCUGGGUGAGCCCUAGCUGGCUCCAGGUUAAGGAACAGCCAGACCUCUGCCCUUCCCCCUCAACCGAUGGUAACCAUGACAAUGCCCUCUUUUCCCCUGGCCCUGUGGUUUCCUCUAAAUCUUCUUUCACUUUCUUCUUCUGCUUUCCCCCCUCCUCUUCUUGCCUCCCCUGUCCCACACCCACCUCCUUCCCAUAGCUCAGGUCACCGGUGGAGAGAAGCCAGGAGCAAGAGAGAAGCAAGGAGGAUCAGAAGUGCAUGGGUGGAGUCCCGCCCUCUGCCUCACAGGUGCUCGCAGUUCAGACCUGCCACUCCUGGUGAGACUUCACCCUCUCACUUCCUGUGGUGCUCCCUGGGUGCUCCCACCCUGCCUUGAACUUCACCUAGCCUGCUGCCUGACUCCUUCUUUCAAGCUUCCGCUGUCUUUAGAGACAGGAACCCUGGAUAUCGCCGACCUCUGUCAUGUGACCUCAAACCUGCAUGCAGCCAUCCUCCGGGGUCAGAGGUGCAGGGCAAAGCAUGCAGCUUCAGUUCAAUCUCAAUCAGUCAAUCAAUCUCUCUCUCUCUCUCUCCCUCUCUCUCUCUCUGAUUUGAUGGAGUCUUACUAUGUUGCUCUGGCCAGCCUUGAACUUUGAACCAGUAGCAAUCCUCCUGCCUCUGCCUCCAGUGUGCUACAAUCACAGGUAUGUAUCACCAUGCCUAAUUCUCAGGGUGUCUAUGAGUGACUUGUCUGCAGUACUUGUGCACACCAGCAGAGGGUACCGGAUCCCAUGGGACUACAGCUGUAAUUAGCUGCGAGCUACCAUAGGGUGCUGGGACUUGAACUCAGGACCUCCAGAAGAAAUGCCAGUGCUCUUAAAACCUGAACCAUCUCUCCAGACCUCCGGUUGUCUCUUCUUCCUUCCUUCCUUUAUUUUAUUUUAUUGUUUGUUUGCUUGUUCUUUUGAGAUAGGAUUUCUCUGUGUAGUCCUAGUUGUCCUGGGACUCAUUGUGUAAACCAGGCUGGUCUUGGAUUCACAGAGAUCUGCCUGCCUCUGCCCCCUGGGUGCUGGGCGUGAGCCACCAUGCUCGACAUCUUUUCAAAACUGCACUGUGGGUCUGUGAGAUGGCAGACAGCUCAGUGUAUAAUGUGCUUAUGUAGUCUGACAACCUGACUGAUGGGAGAACCUACAUCCAGCUGAACGGGGAGAACCAACUCUACCAAGUUGGCCUUCUGACCUCCACACACAAGCUAUGGCGCUCCCCCCUCCCUCCCGCCCCCAUAAUGUGGAACAGAAAUUACUCCCGUGAGUGACUGCCCCUGAUCUCUGCAUUAUGCAGUGACCAAGAACAGCCCCUAUACAAUCAAUCAAUCAACCAAUAAAUAAACAAAAUAUUUCUUUGGUU